rnacentral:ncRNA from 1 species
UAUAAGUUUGAUUCUUUCUUUGGAAUUUAGAAUUUAAAUUUUAUUAUAUGUAAGGUUUUCUUUUUUUUCUAAAAGAUUAUUUUUCAGUAUUUAUUUUUGGUUUUUAUUGAAAGUUAAAACCAGGAUUUUAAUUUAUAACUGACUAAGAUUGUGCCAGCUGUCGCGGUUAUACAAUCAGUUUUAUUAAAUUUUUUCGGUUAAGUAUUAAUCUUUAUUUUUUAAUUUAAAUUUUAAUUUUGGGGUGAAAUCUUAAUUUAAUAAUUUUUUAUUGGUUUGAGAUUUAUAUAUGAAAAUCAUUUAAAGACUAGGAUUAGAUACCCUAUUAUUUUGAUUGUAAAUUUACUUUAAUAUUAAUAGUUAUGAUCUUUAAAUUAAAAGAACUUGGCGGUUAUUUAAUCUUUCUAGAGGAAUCUGUCCUGUAAUUGAUAAUCCACGAUUGAUUUUACUUCAAUUUUGUUUAUAUAUCGCUGUCAUUGAAUGUUUUAAAAGAAUAUUUUCUUAAAUUUUUAUGAAUUUAAUGUUAGGUCAAGAUGUAGCUAUAUUGAAGAAGAGAUGGAUUACAUUAAAAUUAUUUAUGAAUAGAUAUUUUUUAUUUUAUCUUGAAAUUGGAUUUAGAUGUAAUUUUUAAAAAAUAUUAAUUUUGAUUUUAGUUCUAAAUAAUGUACACAUCGCCCGUCACUCCCAUUAUAAGUUGGGAUAAGUCGUAACAAAGUAGUUCUACCGGAAGGUGGGUCUGGAUAAUU